rnacentral:rRNA from 1 species
AGAGUUUGAUCCUGGCUCAGAGCGAACGUUAGCGGGAGGCUUAACACAUGCAAGUCGAGCGAGAACGUCACUUCGGUGGCUAGUACAGCGGCGGACGGGUGAGUAACACGUGGAUAAUCUGCCCUUUGGCGGGGGACAACAGCUCGAAAGGGUUGCUAAUACCGCAUAAGUCAUUGGAGUCUUUGGAUUCUGGUGGGAAAGAUGGCCUCUUCUUGAAAGCUAUCACCGAAGGAUGAGUUCGCGUAGCAUCAGCUUGUUGGUGGGGUAAUGGCCUACCAAGGCUAAGACGCUUAGCUGGUCUGAGAGGAUGAUCAGCCACACUGGGACUGAGAUACGGCCCAGACUCCUACGGGAGGCAGCAGUGGGGAAUAUUGGACAAUGGGCGCAAGCCUGAUCCAGCCAUCCCGCGUGAGUGAUGAAGGCUUUCGGGUCGUAAAGCUCUGCGGGGAGAGACGAAACGUCAACAGAACAAUACCUGUUGAUCUGACGGUAUCUCUUUAGCAAGCACCGGCUAACUCCGUGCCAGCAGCCGCGGUAAUACGGGGGGUGCAAACGUUGCUCGGAAUCAUUGGGCGUAAAGCGCGCGUAGGCGGCUUGAUAAGUCGGAUGUGAAAGCCCUCGGCUUAACCGGGGAAGUGCAUUCGAAACUGUCAGGCUUGAGUAUGGGAGAGGAUUGUGGAAUUCCCGGUGUAGAGGUGAAAUUCGUAGAUAUCGGGAGGAACACC